UACGGAGGGUGCGAGCGUUGUCCGGAAUCACUGGGCGUAAAGGGCGCGUAGGCGGCCUGAUAAGUAGGGGGUGAAAUCCUGCGGCUUAACCGCAGGGCUGCCUUCUAAACUGUCAGGCUGGAGCACAGUAGAGGCAGGUGGAAUUCCCGGUGUAGCGGUGGAAUGCGUAGAGAUCGGGAAGAACAUCAGUGGCGAAGGCGGCCUGCUGGGCUGUUGCUGACGCUGAGGCGCGACAGCGUGGGGAGCAAACAGGAU
rnacentral:rRNA from 1 species